CCUACGGGUGGCAGCAGUAGGGAAUCUUUCACAAUGGGCGAAAGCCUGAUGGAGCAACGCCGCGUGCAGGAUGAAGGCCUUCGGGUUGUAAACUGCUUUUAUAAGCGAGAAAUAUGAUGGUAACUUAUGAAUAAGGAUCGGCUAACUACGUGCCAGCAGCCGCGGUCAUACGUAGGAUCCGAGCAUUAUCCGGAGUGACUGGGUGUAAAGAGUUGCGUAGGUGGCAUAAUAAGUAGCUAGUGAAAUCUGGUGGCUCAAACAUUCAGACUAUUAGCUAAACUGUUAAUCUCGAGACCGUUAGGGGUAACUGGAAUUUCUAGUGUAGGAGUGAAAUCCGUAGAUAUUAGAAGGAACACCAAUAGCGUAGGCAGGUUGCUGGGACGUUUCUGACACUAAGGCACGAAAGCGUAGGGAGCAAACGGGAUUAGAUACCCCUGUAGUC
rnacentral:rRNA from 1 species